UGUUGAAUGAUGAAAAAAAUCAAUCGGAUUCCCAUUGAUAUGUGUAGAAGAUGAAGAUGGUUAUUCAUCUUGUUCUUGAUUCAGUUACAACA